rnacentral:rRNA from 1 species
GACGAACGCUGGCGGCGUGCUUAACACAUGCAAGUUGAACGGAAAGGCCCUGCUUUUGUGGGGUGCUCGAGUGGCGAACGGGUGAGUAACACGUGAGUAACCUGCCCUUGACUUUGGGAUAACUUCAGGAAACUGGGGCUAAUACCGGAUAGGAGCUCCUGCUGCAUGGUGGGGGUUGGAAAGUUUCGGCGGUUGGGGAUGGACUCGCGGCUUAUCAGCUUGUUGGUGGGGUAGUGGCUUACCAAGGCUUUGACGGGUAGCCGGCCUGAGAGGGUGACCGGCCACAUUGGGACUGAGAUACGGCCCAGACUCCUACGGGAGGCAGCAGUGGGGAAUAUUGCACAAUGGGCGGGAGCCUGAUGCAGCAACGCCGCGUGCGGGAUGACGGCCUUCGGGUUGUAAACCGCUUUCGCCUGUGACGAAGCGUGAGUGACGGUAAUGGGUAAAGAAGCACCGGCUAACUACGUG